GACGGAGAAUGCAAGUGUUAUCCGGAAUCACUGGGCGUAAAGCGUCUGUAGGUGGUUCAAUAAGUCAACUGUUAAAUCUUGAGGCUCAACUUCAAAAUCGCAGUCGAAACUAUUGGACUCGAGUAUAGUAGGGGUAAAGGGAAUUUCCAGUGGAGCGGUGAAAUGCGUAGAGAUUGGAAAGAACACCAAUGGCGAAAGCACUUUACUGGGCUAUUACUGACACUGAGAGACGAAAGCUAGGGUAGCAAAUGGG
rnacentral:rRNA from 1 species